UUUGAUAAUUUAAUACGAUCACUAUAUGAACCAUCUUCAUUUUCAAUAGCUACAAGUUUAUAUACUGCACCUAAUGCUGGUUGAUCGUAUCCUGUAAUCAGCUUUGUAC
rnacentral:sRNA from 1 species